AUUGAACGCUAGCGGGAUGCUUUACACAUGCAAGUCGAACGAGUGGCGGACGGGUGAGUAAUAUAUCGGAACGUGCCCAGUAGAGGGGGAUAACUACUCGAAAGAGUGGCUAAUACCGCAUACCAUUGGAGCGGCCGAUAUCGGAUUAGCUAGUUGGUGGGGUAAAGGCUCACCAAGGCAACGAUCCGUAGCUGGUUUGAGAGGACGACCAGCCACCCUGGGACUGGGACACGGCCCAGACUCCUACGGGAGGCAGCAGGGGGGAAUUUUGGACAAUGGGGGAAACGCGGGUCCAGCCAACCCGCGUGGAUGAGAAGGGCUUCGGGGUGGAAAGUACUUUUCGCAGAGUAGCGGUUUCUGCAGGAUGAGCACCGGCUAACUACGUGCCAGCAGCCGCGGUAAUAC
rnacentral:rRNA from 1 species